rfam:Rachicladosporium sp. CCFEE 5018 unplaced genomic scaffold Supercontig_5, whole genome shotgun sequence.
GUACCCUCUCUCCCUCUACCACAACGAGCUUUUGCUGACAACCUACGAGAUCAAGUGUAGUAUCUGUUCUUUUCAGUUUAAUCGCUGAAACUCGACUACGGUCGAUUUACGAUUAUCCUUACUUUUCGCACUCGCUUGGUGCUCCCUGAGCUUGCUCACAGUAUCCUCGCACCGUGUCCUUGGCCUUACACUACCGCCUUGUGACGCAAACACCU